GUGUUUCACAUGCAUUUGAUUAUAAUAUGUAUCCCGCUAUUGUUGGGUACAGAGUUUUAUAAAUGCCUAUUAGAACAAGUUGUUUGAUGUGUCUUUUAUAUCCUUUUUGACUCUGUGUCUACUUGUUCUUGUCAGGCAUCUGAGCCCAAGCUAAGCCAUCAUAUCCCCUGUGACCUGCAUGUAUACAUCCAGAUGGCCUGAAGCAACUGAAGAUCCACAAAAGAAGUGAAAAUAGCCUUAACUGAUGACAUUCCACCAUUGUGAUUUGUUCCUUCCCCACCCUAACUGAUACGAUAUAGUCUCCCCCUCCCUUAAGAAGACUCAGUCUGCCUGCACCCAGGUGAAGUAAACAGCCUUGUUGCUCACACAAAGCCUGUUGGUGGACUCUCUUCACAUGGACGCAAGUGACAUUUGGUGCUGAAGACCCGGAACAGGAGGACUCCUUCAGGAGACCAGUCCCCUGUCCUCACCCUCACUCCGUGAGGAGAUCCACUUAUGACCUCGGGUCCUUAGACCAACAAGCCCAAGGAACAUCUCACCAAUUUCAAAUCGGAGAGUGGGUCUUGUUCUGUCACCCAGGCUGAAGUGCAGUG